AUGCUAAAACACGAAGAAACAUACGGAAAAGCGAAAGGAUACAGAAGCUUAGAACUCACCGACCGGAGAAAGUCCGGUGCCUUAUUGACGACAUCGAAGAACGAAAAUCUAGAGAGUAACUUCCAGGACUUGUAUUCAGUUUGGACAGGUUUUCCUUCAAGAUUUGCAAACUCUAGCCCUCAUACAACAAAGUUUUCAAUUUAUUCUAUUUUCCAUUAUUUUUUCAGAAAAGAAUUUUGGCAAAUUAAAACAAGGCAAUGGCAUCAAUUUGAAUCAAACUUAGUGUAUAGAAUUCAAGCUCAUGUGUGGAUAUGUUUUUUCUUUGUAUUGCUUGGAAUUUUCUUGUAA